GCUUUAUAUUCAUUUGACCAGAGGUAACCUUGGAGAGUAUCUGCUCCAGUGUUAUGUAAUUUCUUCUCAAUGUUUUUUCAUUUGUACCCAUUUUGUCCUUCUUCUGUUCUCUCUUCCUUAGAUAAUACCUUCUGUUCUAAAUGACCUGGGGACGGAGCACAAAAACUGCAAACACAACAGAGACCAUCUGUGAUGUCUGAGUCCUAUGUAUAUUAUUACGCAAUCCCAUAUUUUGGGUUCCCCAAAGAAGCUUUCAGUGAACAAUUCUGAAAAGAACCUAUUUUUAAAAGAACCUCAUUGGCACAAAAUCAGCUAUUUAGCAGAAUGUCCAAGCUGCUCUUUACCAUGCAGUAAAACUUAAAGGUGGACACAGCUCAGACAUUCUGCUAAAUGUUUCUUUUGUGUUCAAUGUAAGAAUUGCGUUUGAUUACGUAACUCUACCCUGAAUCAAGUGCCACCUGCCAGACAAGGAAGAAUUACUGCUGCAGUAAAACACUUCCUAACCUAGUCACCACGAUUAGACAUUGAUUCAGGCUUAUCCCAUCUGCGUAAGAGCUUGUCUCAACUCCCCAAAUAGAAUGAUAUGCCACCAAACUAACUGCAAUGACUCUGAGUACAUCUGACCAUCAACCGGAUGUUUACAAGCAAUGGCCAUCCUCCCCAUAAUUACGCUCUCAUUGAGAGUAAGUGUUUCUCAUAAUCCUAAUUACACACAAUUACUAACAGACACAUCACUGCAGUCUGUUACAUCAUGUGAGAGAGAAGGACACAAUGAUGACUGCAAGUCUUGACUCAGGAAUAAACCACCAGACAACAGUUCUCCCCUAGCAGCAUUUCAGUUUGCAGUAAUGGGCUAAACUAAUGUCAGACUCAGGCUCCAAUAUUAGCACUUGCCAAGCACCCAGUGGGAGUAACAAUUGUUUUUAGUGAAAAAUUAAGUUACUUGCCAAUCCAGGAAAUGCAAGAAAUUACUUUACAUUGUUACAAAAGAUUUCUGUAUCAAAUAAAUGCUGU
rnacentral:lncRNA from 1 species